rnacentral:rRNA from 1 species
UGCAAGUCGAGCGGUAGAGAGAAGCUUGCUUCUCUUGAGAGCGGCGGACGGGUGAGUAAUGCCUAGGAAUCUGCCUGGUAGUGGGGGAUAACGUCCGGAAACGGACGCUAAUACCGCAUACGUCCUACGGGAGAAAGCAGGGGACCUUCGGGCCUUGCGCUAUCAGAUGAGCCUAGGUCGGAUUAGCUAGUUGGUGAGGUAAUGGCUCACCAAGGCGACGAUCCGUAACUGGUCUGAGAGGAUGAUCAGUCACACUGGAACUGAGACACGGUCCAGACUCCUACGGGAGGCAGCAGUGGGGAAUAUUGGACAAUGGGCGAAAGCCUGAUCCAGCCAUGCCGCGUGUGUGAAGAAGGUCUUCGGAUUGUAAAGCACUUUAAGUUGGGAGGAAGGGCAUUAACCUAAUACGUUAGUGUUUUGACGUUACCGACAGAAUAAGCACCGGCUAACUCUGUGCCAGCAGCCGCGGUAAUACAGAGGGUGCAAGCGUUAAUCGGAAUUACUGGGCGUAAAGCGCGCGUAGGUGGUUUGUUAAGUUGGAUGUGAAAGCCCCGGGCUCAACCUGGGAACUGCAUUCAAAACUGACAAGCUAGAGUAUGGUAGAGGGUGGUGGAAUUUCCUGUGUAGCGGUGAAAUGCGUAGAUAUAGGAAGGAACACCAGUGGCGAAGGCGACCUGGACUGAUACUGACACUGAGGUGCGAAAGCGUGGGGAGCAAACAGGAUUAGAUACCCUGGUAGUCCACGCCGUAAACGAUGUCAACUAGCCGUUGGGAGCCUUGAGCUCUUAGUGGCGCAGCUAACGCAUUAAGUUGACCGCCUGGGGAGUACGGCCGCA